AUUGAACGCUGGCGGCAGGCCUAACACAUGCAAGUCGAGCGAGUGGCGGACGGGUGAGUAAUGUAUGGGGAACUGCCUGAUAGAGGGGGAUAACUACUGGAAACGGUGGCUAAUACCGCAUACUAUCGGAUGAACCCAUAUGGGAUUAGCUAGUAGGUGGGGUAAAGGCUAACCUAGGCGACGAUCCCUAGCUGGGCUGAGAGGAUGACCAGCCACACUGGGACUGAGACACGGCCCAGACUCCUACGGGAGGCAGCAGUGGGGAAUAUUGCGCAAUGGGUGCAACCCUGACGCAGCCAUGCCGCGUGUAUGAAGAAGGCCUUCGGGUUGUAAAGUACUUUCGGUAGCGAGGCGUUAACUACAGAAGAAGCACCGGCUAACUCCGUGCCAGCAGCCGCGGUAAUAC
rnacentral:rRNA from 1 species